GAUGAACGCUGGCGGCGUGCCUAAUACAUGCCAGUCGAGCGAACGGACGAGAAGCUUGCUUCUCUGAUGUUAGCGGCGGACGGGGGAGUAACACGUGGAUAACCUCCCUAUAAGACUGGGAUAACUUCGGGAAACCGGAGCUAAUACCGGAUAAUAUUUUGAACCGCAUGGUUCAAAAGUGAAAGACGGUCUUGCUGUCACUUAUAGAUGGAUCCGCGCUGCAUUAGCUAGUUGGUAAGGUAACGGCUUACCAAGGCAACGAUGCAUAGCCGACCUGAGAGGGUGAUCGGCCACACUGGAACUGAGACACGGUCCAGACUCCUACGGGAGGCAGCAGUAGGGAAUCUUCCGCAAUGGGCGAAAGCCUGACGGAGCAACGCCGCGUGAGUGAUGAAGGUCUUCGGAUCGUAAAACUCUGUUAUUAGGGAAGAACAUAUGUGUAAGUAACUGUGCACAUCUUGACGGUACCUAAUCAGAAAGCCACGGCUAACUACGUG
rnacentral:rRNA from 1 species